UACGAAGGGGGCGAGCGUUGUUCGGAUUUACUGGGCGUAAAGGGCGCGUAGGCGGACAGUUAAGUCGGGGGUGAAAGCCCGGGGCUCAACCUCGGAAUUGCCUUCGAUACUGGCUGUCUUGAGUAUGGGAGAGGUGUGUGGAACUCCGAGUGUAGAGGUGAAAUUCGUAGAUAUUCGGAAGAACACCAGUGGCGAAGGCGACACACUGGCCCAUUACUGACGCUGAUGCGCGAAAGCGUGGGGAGCAAACAGG
rnacentral:rRNA from 1 species